rnacentral:rRNA from 1 species
GGUUCGUCCUGUGUGGCUGCGGGGGUAAGACGGUGGGUGUGAUCGUUGUCCUGAUUUAUUUGUGUUCAAGUGUGCGUAGGCGGCUUUUUAAUGCAGUGGUGAAAGCCUCCAGCUUAACGGGAGAACGGCCAUUGAUACUGAAGAGCUUGAGUACAGACUAGGUAGGCGGAAUUUAUUGUGUAGCGGUGAAAUGCAUAGAUACCAUAAAGAACUCCUAUUGCGAAGGCAGCUUACUAGGCUGUAACUGACGCUGAGGCACGAAAGCGUGGGGAUCAAACAGGAUUAGAUACCCGGGUAGUC